GAUGAACGCUAGCGGCAGGCUUAAUACAUGCAAGUCGAGGGGCAGCACGGUUAGCAAUAACUGGUGGCGACCGGCGCACGGGUGCGUAACACGUAUACAAUCUACCUUAAACAGGGGAUAGCCUUUCGAAAGAGAGAUUAAUACCCCGUAAUAAAUUGAACGGCAUCGUUUGAUUUUGAAAGCUCCGGCGGUUUGAGAUGAGUAUGCGUCUGAUUAGCUAGUUGGUGAGGUAACGGCUCACCAAGGCGACGAUCAGUAGGGGAUCUGAGAGGACUAACCCCCACACUGGUACUGAGACACGGACCAGACUCCUACGGGAGGCAGCAGUAAGGAAUAUUGGUCAAUGGAGGCAACUCUGAACCAGCCAUGCCGCGUGCAGGAUGACGGCCCUAUGGGUUGUAAACUGCUUUUAUACAAGAGAAAACCCUGGUACGUGUACCAGGUUGAUAGUAUUGUAAGAAUAAGCAUCGGCUAACUUUCGUGCCAGCAGCCGCGGUAAU
rnacentral:rRNA from 1 species